rnacentral:tRNA from 1 species
GCCCCAAUAGUUUAGUGGUUAUAACGUUUCACUCGUAAUGAAAAGGUCCUCGGUUCAACUCCGAGUUGGGGCA